CUGCACAAUUCCAUUAACAUAAAAUAAAGAGCUUUACUAGAAUAGCUUAGAUAUAAAGACAAACAUAAUAUGGUAUGUAAAGUAAACAAAAUUAGAAUAAACAAAAGAUUAAUCUUUGAACACAAAUGGUAUAUAGCUAAAAAAACAAACAAAACAAGACAAAAAACCUACCUUUGAUGAUUUUAAAGACUGGAAUUCCCCAAACUGAAUUUUAAUUUUGCUCCACUUGAUGCUUUUAGCCAUUGAUCUGUUUGACAAACUUCUGUAAAUAAAUAUAUACAUGUUCAUGAUAUCAGAUAAUGGACUGCUAUAACAUUCAAAACCAGGUUACGUACACAUUAAUGUAAACAUGCAUUUCUCAUAGUACACAGAGUUAGAGAUCACCUGAAGAUCAGUAAAGGCUCAGACUGACUUGUUUUUGUAAAAAUAAAACAAUAAAAGUAUCAAUUUUCCAUGAUCGUUCAAAUUCAAUACUUGUUGUCCUGUUGAAAUUCAUUGUUUAAUAUGAUCGUCAACAAGAAUGUGUCCCCAGUACACGAAUGCCCCACUCGCACUAUCAUUUUCUAUGUUCAUGUGACCGUGAAAUUGGGUAAACCCUCUAAUUUGGCAUUAAAAUUAAAAAGAUCAUAUCAUAGGGAACAUGUAUACUAAGUUUGAAGUGGAUUGGACUUCAACUUCAUCAAAAACUACCUUGACCAAAAACUUUAACCUGAAGAGGGAGGGACAGACGGACGGACGGACGAACGGAAGCACAGACCAGAAAACAUAAUGCCCCUCUACUAUCGUAGGUGGGGCAUAAAAAGUAUGUGGUUUACCAAGUCUUAAAGUUAAACUAAAAGAAUCGCAUAUAUAUAUAGUAUAAAGUAAACAUGUUGGGAAAUUUACCUGAGCAAAAUAAUGUAAACACUUGCUUAUUCCCCCUUUUUCUUAUAUGAAUCUUUAAGCAUAAUAAUUGUAACAAUCUUUACCUAAACUUUAAAAUGAAACUAAAUACCCCAUUAAAUGCUCUUAGAAAUAGUAUAAUUGGAGGAAAUUAUAUAUGAUGGCCCUUCCAUGUGUUCUGAUCUGUUUUCUGGAAUACAAUGUUGACGUUAUAAUUUUCUCUAAUUGUGCAAUAUGAUACCAA
rnacentral:lncRNA from 1 species